rnacentral:rRNA from 1 species
CAAUACUUCGCCGGCGACCGGCGCACGGGUGAGUAACACGUGUGCAACCAACCCCGUGCCGGGAGAUAACCCGCGGAAACGUGGACUAACAUCCCAUAAUACUGGAGGAUCGCAUGAUCUUUCAUUUAAAAUUCCGGUGGUACGGGACGGGCACGCGCGACAUUAGGUAGUUGGCGGGGUAACGGCCCACCAAGCCGACGAUGUCUAGGGGUUCUGAGAGGAAGGUCCCCCACACUGGAACUGAGACACGGUCCAG